GACAGCAGUAGCCACGGGAAUACGAAGGGUGCAAGCGUUAAUCGGAAUUACUGGGCGUAAAGCGUGCGUAGGCGGUGAGUUAAGUCUGCUGUGAAAUCCCCGGGCUCAACCUGGGAAUGGCAGUGGAUACUGGCUCGCUAGAGUGUGUCAGAGGAUGGUGGAAUCCCGGUGUAGCGGUGAAAUGCGUAGAGAUCGGGAGGAACAUCAGUGGCGAAGGCGGCCAUCUGGGACAACACUGACGCUGAGGCACGAAAGCGUGGGGAGCAAACAGGAUUAGAUACCCCAGUAGUCCCUGUCUCUUAUACA
rnacentral:rRNA from 1 species